rnacentral:rRNA from 1 species
GACGAACGCUGGCGGCGUGCUUAACACAUGCAAGUCGAACGGAAAGGCCCUGCUUUUGUGGGGUGCUCGAGUGGCGAACGGGUGAGUAACACGUGAGUAACCUGCCCUUGACUUUGGGAUAACUUCAGGAAACUGGGGCUAAUACCGGAUAGGAGCUCCUGCUGCAUGGUGGGGGUUGGAAAGUUUCGGCGGUUGGGGAUGGACUCGCGGCUUAUCAGCUUGUUGGUGGGGUAGUGGCUUACCAAGGCUUUGACGGGUAGCCGGCCUGAGAGGGUGACCGGCCACCUUGGGACUGAGAUACCGCCCAGCCUCCUACGGGAGGGAGCCGUGGGGGAUUUUGCCCCAUGGGCCGAAGCCUGAUGCAGCAACGCCGCGUGCGGGAAGACGGCCUUCCGGUUGGAAACCGCUUUCGCCUGUGACGAAGCGUGAGUGACGGUAAUGGGUAAAGAAGCACCGGCUAACUACGUG